rnacentral:rRNA from 1 species
CGGGUGACGAGUGGCGGACGGGUGAGUAAUGUCUGGGAAACUGCCUGAUGGAGGGGGAUAACUACUGGAAACGGUAGCUAAUACCGCAUAACGUCGCAAGACCAAAGAGGGGGACCUUCGGGCCUCUUGCCAUCAGAUGUGCCCAGAUGGGAUUAGCUAGUAGGUGGGGUAACGGCUCACCUAGGCGACGAUCCCUAGCUGGUCUGAGAGGAUGACCAGCCACACUGGAACUGAGACACGGUCCAGACUCCUACGGGAGGCAGCAGUGGGGAAUAUUGCACAAUGGGCGCAAGCCUGAUGCAGCCAUGCCGCGUGUAUGAAGAAGGCCUUCGGGUUGUAAAGUACUUUCAGCGGGGAGGAAGGCGAUGAGGUUAAUAACCUUGUCGAUUGACGUUACCCGCAGAAGAAGCACCGGCUAACUCCGUGCCAGCAGCCGCGGUAAUACGGAGGGUGCAAGCGUUAAUCGGAAUUACUGGGCGUAAAGCGCACGCAGGCGGUCUGUCAAGUCGGAUGUGAAAUCCCCGGGCUCAACCUGGGAACUGCAUUCGAAACUGGCAGGCUAGAGUCUUGUAGAGGGGGGUAGAAUUCCAGGUGUAGCGGUGAAAUGCGUAGAGAUCUGGA